GAUGAAGAACGCAGCGAAAUGCGAAAAGUAAUGUGAAUUGCAGAAUUCAGUGAAUCAUCGAAUCUUUGAACGCACAUUGCGCCCGCUAGUAUUCUGGCGGGCAUGCCUGUCCGAGCGUCAUUUCAACCCUCAAGCCCCCGGGCUUGGUGUUGGGGAUCGGCGAGCCUCCGCGCCCGCCGUCCCCUAAAUCUAGUGGCGGUCUCGCUGUAGCUUCCUCUGCGUAGUAGCACACCUCGCACUGGGAAACAGCGCGGCCACGCCGUUAAACCCCCAACUUCUGAACGUUUGACCUCGGAUCAGGUAGGAAUACCCGCUGAACUUAAGCAUAUCAAUAAGCGGAGGA
rnacentral:misc_RNA from 1 species